ensembl:lncRNA
UGCUCCUCCCAGCCUGAGGGUGGUGCUACCACCAUUGGUGUCUCUCCAGGUGCUGGCUGUCGAUUGGUGCAGGGGCUGGAGGAGCUACUAUAAAUGGCCGCCGCUGGAGAUAUUCAUUCUCCUUCUAUUGACCCUGCUCCCAACUGCACCAGGCUUUAUUAUGUGGCAUUGUAUUGUAUUAUGUUAAAACUUUAGCAGUCCAGGUAACCGUAUAGGAAAUUGAGCCGAGGUCUCCAGUGGGUUAGGCAGAGUGCACUCCACUGCACCACUGAGGUGAUGCCAAUACACAAUAAUCAAUCAUCAAUAAAGAGGAUAUACAUGACAUUAAAAUGUAUGUGUGUAGUUCUAUUAUUUCCCUUGUUUUUUUUGUAUAAUUUCAUCAUACAACAUGAUUUUUCAUUAAAUUGUUGACAUCCACCCUUUUUAUGAUAUUUAUCAUAUUAUCGUUUCAUUUUAUUUAGAACAUUGUCUGUGUAGGCUGAUGUAGGCUAUGAUGCAGAACUGUCAUAGCUGAAUAUGGUAUUAUGCUGAUUUUACAUAAGCAUGUUGGUGUUCAACAUCUGUUGUAGUGAACAUUCAACUGUUCUAAAAUGUUGCUGCCAUAUUAUUAGACACGUUGAAUAUUAUCUUUUUAAUUCUGGAAUCCCGCACGUAUACUGGUUGGCAAAAAAAGAGCAAAGACGGACGGUUCACUUGACGGGGAAACCGUCACUUUCCUCAUAUCAGACAACUGAUAUGAAGAAAUGUACGCGGGUAACGCCGUCAGAAUCCAAGUGGUGCAAAAAAACAUUGCACCGUGGACCUCUGGGAGUGAGGUCAAGUGAGGUCUAAAUCACAAAACUGAUGUUCAUCCUUUCAAAGUAAUGUACAGUCGGAUUAAAACGAACAAAUAACAGGAUUGAAUUGAAAGCUAGAGAAAGUCGACUUUUCUCUUUAUAUUUAUUUAUUUAAAUAUAUUAUUUUGUUUAAAUUAAUAUUGAUAUAAUAAAAUAAAAGUGGAAAAAAAUAUGGAAAAGUAUAAAAAAUGGGGAUCGACUUCACGUGACAAUUGAAAGAGGGAACAGAAAUUGUUUGCUUGGCAAAAAUCGGCUGCAUUUUUUUUUUCUUGCGGUGUAUAUUGUGUGCUUAAUAACCAUCAAUAUAUGAUUUCAUUCCGAUUCAAAUGUUUCUUGGAAUUGGUAUCCAUUAUUAUCAAUUUUAUUUUCUGCUCUUCUCUUCAAACAAACCAAUAAAAGAAAUAAAGAAAAGACAAAUGAUGUCUUCUCCAUUUCGGACACUUUGCGCUUCCUAGGGAUACCGAAGAUAGGUGGUAGAGUUCCUCUUGCCAUCUCUCUGCCCUCCGUGAAAUGAGCAAACCGUCUGCAAUGACUGCAUAAAACACACACACACACACACACACAAAUAGUUUUUGUAGGUCAUUGUUACGGUUGUGUUAAUAUUGGAAUUCACAGCACAUCUGCUUCAGAAGAACUAUACCCUUCAGUAUGGAGAUUCUCCUACAAAGUAGAGCACCACCACUUCCUGAGAUGUGUUAUGUCAUGCUGUGGAAUAUAACAGUAUAUCAGUCAGAAUUAACUUCCAAAGACUGCAAUUAGAGUAGACUGUUUAUACUUGACUACAUCAUCAUUUUGCAUUAACUUUAGCCAUUUCAUUUUCGUAUAUUUUCCUUUGUAUAUAUUUGUAUCUAGUAUACUAUUUGAAAUUUCGUUGAGAUAAAUAAGUUGCAUGUAAUUAUAACUAGUAUUUAAAGUGUUAGCUAUCGUGGAUAAAUACGUUAGCUUAAGGAAGUGGCGUCCCUAUGCUGUUUUAUUCAGGGCUAAAGCCUCGGAUGUUAUUUAAUUAGCCCCGAAUAUGAUCUUUGAAAAAAAAUAAAAUAAUAAUCAUAAAUUUAUAAGUAGCCUAGUCUUGAUAGACAUAGUCCUUCUGGCAAGAGAAUAAACAACAACCUGUGUGUGUGUGUGUGUGUGUGUGUGUGUGUGUGUGUGUGUGUGUGUGUGUGUGUGUGUGUGUGUGUGUGUGUGUGUGUGUGUGUGUGUUUGUUUGUGGGGAGGGGGGGUAUCUAUAUAGUUUGUAUCUAUAUUAAGAUAAUCUUUGGUGUGUGUCUAUUUGGUGUGUUUAUCUUUAUCGUGUGUAUCUAUAUGGUGUGUAACUAUGGUGUGUAACUAUGAUGUGUGCGUAUCUAUAUGGUGUAUACCUAUGGUGUGUGCGUGUAUGUUGUGGCAUCCCGCCACUUAAACCUCGGCCCGGACCAGCCCGAGGCUUGGUCCUGGAUGGCCGAUACCACCGUCACCCACCAGCCGGCGACGGAGAGCACCGACCGAACCCCAAUCAGCGAGAUUGGGGGACACCUGGCCGAAAGCCGAGGAGCCAUGUUAAAAGGAGCACGAGGACUGACAUUUGGGGAGACCAGGAACGGGAGCGAGGAUGGAGGAAGCGCUCGGGUCCGCGAACGGCUAGAGGCCCACGGAGGCCCUAGAGACUGUCUAUCAUGGAUAUUUAACUGCAGUUCUGUGAGUAUCCCAACUUAACCAUGAAGAUGAACUGCAAACUGUAAGUCAUUAAUUUCUCAUUAUUCUUGGGCACAUUGAUGUAUUUUGGCUUCCUGGUGAGUUAACCUGUUACCUGAAGGUUGAUCUGAGUAUGAAUGAUGUUUUAUUUGUUCAUGGGUUACUUAGGUGUUUGGUUUAUGUUGGUUUGAAUGAUUUGUUAAAAAGGUUACAGGCUUAUUGUUGUGAGCUGGAGUAAUGGAUUGGGUUCUGAUAUCUUCAGUCUUCUUUCAUUCUACUCUCCUGAGCUCUGCAUCUUCAUCACAUGAGUGUUGCUUUACUGUGGUCUGAGUGAGCAGAGGUACAUACUGGGAUACAGAGCUGUCUGAAGUCUACAGGUCUGCAGACACUCAGGGGAAACCGAGUGUUUGAGAAACUGUUGUGACGUCAGUUAAAUGGACUGGAAUGUUCUUAAAGAUGGAGACAGGGAUUCAGAAGGAGAAUCACCAGGGGGAGAUGAGGGGGCUCCUCAUCUCAACAACUGAAACACAACUUCAGUCUGACACAGAACCAUGGAACACAUUCAACAGUCCCCUCCAGGCAUCGUCACUCCUCAGGAACAGUUUCAUUUCCAAGAAGGUCUUAUUUGGGGCCAUCCCCAUAUGGAUCCUGCUCCUCAAGAGCCACCCCCCUCCACUGGGUGGUCUUCUGAACAGAUGACCUCCUUCCUGUCCUCAAGCUGACUAAAGCUGCACCAUUUGCAUCUGUGAAGGCCCCUCAUUCAGGAAACCACUGGACUACAAAGACAUGACUUCAGAGACGUUGAAUCAACCUGGGACACAUUUUGGAGAUGCCAAGCAUAAUCCAUCACCAAUGUGGGACGCCACUGAAGAAUGUUGUACAUAAUUACAUCUCUGGAGAUAUUGGUUGUUCUGUUAUGGGUGCCCUGGCAGGGAGAGCUGGGGGAUGAUUGAAUGUUAUUUGGCAUAAGGUUUUUGUGUGUGUGUGUGUGUGUGUGUCAUGAGAUGGAAGAUUUUGAGCAUCGGUAGGGUUCUACUGUGUGUGUGUGUGUGUGUGUGUGUCCCACUCACACCUGGCAUGGGGUUCUACGUGCCUGUCCUGGGUUCUAAGUGUGUGUGUGUGUGUCCGGCUUGCUUUGACAGUGAUAUUGUUCAUACGGGGGUCUGUGUGAUUGGCUUGGGAUAUUGGAAUGGUCAUCUAAAUCAUACCUGAUGGACGGCCACACGUUUACUUAAGGACCUCCAGUAGACAUGAAGAGCCCUGAGCAAUGCUCCGGAGCGAUAUCCAACACACUGGGAAGGAAGGAGAGUAUCCAACUCAAGUGUAAAAGGAUGCAAGCGGCGUGUUCAGAUCAGUGACUUCAAACUAGGACUACAACAAUCAGGAUCAAUGGAGGAUGGACACCAAAAGGAAUUCCACAAGGAGAGUCUGACGUUGGAAAGGGACCUAAAUUGAUAUUCAAGAUGACCUUCAGACCUGUAAUGAGACGGCUCUUCCUACCUGGCUGGAUUGAUGGAGAGCCCUGUGGAUCUUGUCUUGCUCUCAGUUGCACGUCUUCUCAGGCUGAACUGUAUUUGUUUUGGACAGGACUAGCUGGAUGAUUGGUUCCCUUAAAUCAGAACCAAUCCAGGAACUCCAGCUAGUGCGCUCUUCGAGCUGAAGUUGUGCUCUUCAACUGAGGAGGUAAGGAAACCUUCACUGGGGCUUCAAGGUGUAAAUGGGAGAAUGUUUCAAAGUGUUCCAUGGUACUCUGAACUGUUGUUGUGUUCCACUGGCUGAGAGGAAGAACCCUCACAUCUUCCUCUUGGCCUUUCUCCUCGGAGAAUCCUGGCGCCAUCUUGAAGGCUAUUCCAGCUCAUGUAACUGAUGUCACGACAGAUUCUCAAACACUUGGUUUCUCCUGAGGGGCGUGUCUAUAGAACUGAAGACUUCAGACAGCACUGUAUCCCAGCAUGCAUCUCUGCUCACUCAGACCACACCCCCAUGAGUAGGAUGCAACACUCUAGUGAUAGCGAUGUAGAGUUUUAUAAGUAACGAGGGAGCAGACUAAGGUGAUUAGAACACAAUGGAAUGUCAAGUCUGUAAAUCUUUAAACCAUGAAGAUGGUUGGAUAGGUCAGGACUCGGGCUUCUUUUUAUUAUGGGCAGUCCUUUCACUCGGAUGCCCACUUCUCACUGGACCUGUACAUGUGUUGGCUGGCUGGCAUUAUUUGCUGUUGGUGAUGAGGCGGUCAGGAUGACGUUGCAGGGCUAUGGUCGGCUCUCUGUGAGCUCAACGUUUAGAUUCGCUCUGUAUGGUUUGUACCCUGAAUAAUCGAGAUAAUUGUAAAAUAUAGACACGGUUUUGUAUUGAAUGAUUCCAGGAUUUUAGGUUUAAGGUUGUUGUGGGAUGUACAUUGUAGUUUGGUUCUUCGUAUGGUUUUGAGUGAUAUAAAUUGUACACACUGGGUGCAUAACAAUGUAAAGGUACACUGAAUAGUAGUAAUUACCAACAGCAACAAAGGGAUCUCCUCAAGGUAAGUCUGUUGGCUGUGUUUUAAUGAAGACCAUCGCUGGACUUCAGGAUCUUCCUCCGUUCAGCUCAAGGUGAGGCGCUGGUUCUGUUUUUUCUUUGGUUGGUUCCGGCCGGAAUGUUCGUAUUCCAGUCGGACGGUUUGUGCUUCCCGCCGGGAAGGUUCUGAGUGCGGUCACUUGAUUUAGUCCCAAUGGUUAGCAUAGAUUGUAGUCUUGACAACCAUAAGAAACCACCUGGCAGUUAGUUGGACGGGAGUCCCCUGAGGGAAUCUGGAGGAACGUUCUGGAUUGUAUUUGCGUAACCUCGAGCCGUUGCCUACGGAAACUAUUUUUCAGUCGGUUUCCAUUGGGAAUUGUUGCCCCCUAUCCUAAACAACUUUAAGUUUGGUAUUAAAUACAUACUGAGACGUACGUCGUACAAUAUGUUGAUAAUUUCCGAUGGUUGCGCCGUACGUUUAACCACGAUGACGUGACGGGACUCUCACUGCGUACAAAACAGCGUUCUACUUGCGGGCCCAUUUUUGACAUCGGGGAAGGCUGAAAAUCAUUUCAAGGUGGAAGAUGAUUGGACAUUUCUUCAACGGAACCCAGCACCUGAAUAUGGCUGAGUAUAUUUGAUUUAAUAACGAUACUGCUUAGUGUUCUUUGUUACUUCAGCUUUUGUACGUUCUAAAUAUCUGCUGUCAUUAAUUGCCACAGAAGUUAAACCCUACCCAAUGGAAUGACGUUAAACAACGACUUGGUGCAGAGUUACGAACUGGAUAAUAUCAAAGCUAAAAUAAUGGCCUUCAUUCCCACAUGUUGCAGUAGAAAAUACUCUAGAACUGUACAAGGUUAAAAAGGUAACAUGUAGUUUGUCCCAAGGUGUCUGCCUCCUCACCCAGAGUAAGACCUCCACCUCCUCACCCAGAGCCAGACCUCCACCUCCUGUCAGAAGUCCUCCAGAACAGCUGAAAGGCGAGGCUGAGAGGCUGGGGACCGCAGGCUUGUGGUGCCAGGGUAAACCGGAGACUGAGGCUGGAGACCAGGGGCCUGCAGCACCGGACCAGAGGACCAGGAAUCCAUGGCUGGAGGAGCCGUGCUGAUGGAGGAGCCGUGCUGACGGAGCUGAUGGAGGAGCCGUGAUGAAGGAGCUGAUGGAGGAGCCGUGCUGAAGGAGCUGAUGGAGGAGCCGUGCUGAAGGAGCUGAUGGAGGAGCCGUGAUGAAGGAGCUGAUGGAGGAGCCGUGCUGACGGAGCUGAUGGAGGAGCCGUGAUGAAGGAGCUGAUGGAGGAGCCGUGCUGAAGGAGCUGAUGGAGGAGCCGUGCUGAUGGAGGAGUCAUGCUGAAGGCCCUGCAUUGUGGAGGAGCUGGUGGAGGCCCUGCCUGGUGAAGGACAUCUGUCGUGAGACCAGGACUCUGUCUUAGGAGAGCUGCCGGAGGAGCUGAGACGCUGGAGGACGACUAGGAAUCGACCAACAAGGAUUCCUCAACGUGUUGCUGGUAGGCGAGCCUUGAAUCUGGAGGAUGACCAUCACUCUACCAACAAGGAUUACUUUAGGGCCAGACUCGCACUGUUUGUUCCAGACCAGGACCCUGGCUGAGGAGAGCUGAUGGAGGAGCCAAGGCUCUGGAGGAUGACAUCACUCCACCAACCAGGAUCCUCAACAGGAAUCUGGAGGACUGAUGGAGAAGCCGUACAUCUGGAAGGCAAAUCCUGAGGACCACCAGGACUCUACCAUCAAGGAUACAUUCAAGUUUGCAUUAUCUGGACAUAGUGGACUAGACGCACCUGAGCUGAACCUCACCUGAUCCUGUUUGGUCGGGGGUAGACGCACCUGAGCUAAACCCGCCCUGAUCCUGACAUCCUGCUGGUCCCGUCUCCUCAGUUCAUCUGAGCCUCGUCCUCCAGAAGACCUGCUGAGCUCAGCAGUCUGAGGCUGAACGAUCAAUGACCUCCAGUGGGAGUGAUCUUCUUGACCCCACAUGUAACCGUGUGCUUCCACACGCCUCUCCCUCACGUCUGUCACUAACCUCACUACUUCACUACUCUCUACUGCUUCCUCUUUUCUUCCUUCUCUGUGGUUCAAACCGUUACACUGAAGGCGCGUCUUCCUGCCCUCAGAGGGUUUAGCGUUAGGGUUGAGAGUCAGGGUUUAGAGUCAGGGACAGAGCUGGUCAGGGAGGACUGCUUUUACACAAACCUCUUCAUUUGCUUUCGGAAUGGUGGUGACAUUUUGAAAAGAUUAAUUUGGGAAAAUGUUUUCCUCUGCUUUCCUUUACAAAAUUGUAUUAAAGUUCUGUCAAAUGUUUUUGUUUAUAUAUUAAAAUCCCACAUUGACUUCUAUAUGUUUGGUGCGUUUCAUUUAAUUGUCCUUUAACUUGGUUAAUGUCAAGCUAAAUUCCUGCAAUACAUUUAAUAUACAUGAUUGUUAUUCAGCAAUGUUCACAUAAUCCAUUUUGUAAAAAUAUGAAACCUCCAUUACUACUAAAUUCAUGUAUUUAACAAUGUACAUACUGCCCCGC